AGACAAAGGACGAAAGAGAGCGGACUCUACGCCAACUCUUCCUCUCUCUGUUUGAGCGAUUGGCUAGCUCCCUGGGGGGUCAAGGACACAGUGACUUGUGGACACAGUGCACAUUGGACCACUGCAGACACCUACUGGUCCAGAACCAUGCUACUCUGUCCAGGAUGGCUGCUCUGCUGGAGGAUACAGUAUUCACUGUAGAUGUGGACCCACAACUUCUAGAGGUGUUCCAGCAGUUCCAGGCCCUACUAUAGCUUACUCUAAACUUAAUAACAAUAUAAAGGUUUCUUUUUGUACAUACUGUACCGAUAUGCAUAUGCACUAUAAUUAUUACUAUUGUGCUGUGGUUGAAAAUUAUAA